rnacentral:rRNA from 1 species
GGAGGGUGCAAGCGUUAUCCGGAUUCACUGGGUUUAAAGGGUGCGUAGGCGGGCAGGUAAGUCCGUGGUGAAAUCUCUGAGCUUAACUCAGAAACUGCCAUGGAUACUAUUUGUCUUGAAUAUUGUGGAGGUGAGCGGAAUAUGUCAUGUAGCGGUGAAAUGCUUAGAUAUGACAUAGAACACCAAUUGCGAAGGCAGCUCACUACACAGUUAUUGACGCUGAGGCACGAAAGCGUGGGGAUCAAACAGGAUUAGAUACCCUGGUAGUCCACGCCCUAAACGAUGAUUACUCGACAUCAGCGAUACACUGUUGGUGUCUGAGCGAAAGCAUUAAGUAAUCCACCUGGGAAGUACGAUCGCAAGA